rnacentral:rRNA from 1 species
CGCGUAGGCGGUGUACACAGUCAGGCGUGAAAUUCCCGGGCUCAACCUGGGGGCUGCGCUUGAUACAUGUGCGCUUGAGUUCGGAAGAGGGUCGUGGAAUUCCCAGUGUAGAGGUGAAAUUCGUAGAUAUUGGGAAGAACACCGGUGGCGAAGGCGGCGACCUGGUCCGAUACUGACGCUGAGGCGCGAAAGCGUGGGGAGCAAACAGGAUUAGAUACCCUGGUAGUCCACGCCGUAAACGAUGUGUGCUGGAUGUUGGGCAGUCUGACUGUUCAGUGUCGUAGCUAACGCGAUAAGCACACCGCCUGGGGAGUACGGCCGCAAGGUUGAA